rfam:Planctomycetes bacterium GWB2_41_19 gwb2_scaffold_6965, whole genome shotgun sequence.
CUCAUUGUAAGCGAUGGAGUUCGCUUAACUGCUACAGCGUAGCUGAUAACUCCUGUUGAAGU